GCUGUGCGGGCUCGGCCUCUUUUCCCUGAGAGUCGCGUUGCUUGAGCAUGCAGCGCUAAGCAGGUCGUAAACUCGAUCUAAGGCUAAAUAUGUCCACAGAACCGAUAGCGAACAAGUACCGUGAGGGAAAGUUGAAAAGCACUCUGGAGAGAGAGUCAAAAGACCGUGAAACCGCUCAGAGUAUAAGCCCAUGGCAGCUUGGAAGGCAUAUCGCUAGCGGGGCAUCGGUCUUCCUUCUCGGAGGGAGCGCUGGUGUUACCUUGCUACUGUUGUGGCUCGUCAAGGUAGGGGGGUCAAGUCCACAUCCCGCCGUCGUGUGGGAGGGUUCUUGGGCGCGUUGUGGUCUUUCGGUUGACUUCGGUCGGUCGUUGGGUUCUUCGUGCUUGGUUCCUUCUUUUUGCACGGACGUUCAGACUCAGAAGCAAGACGCGAUAACCAGCCCACCACGGCACGUUGUGAGGUCACCCACAGACUUAGCUUUCGAUUGUGAUCCUUGACGCCGAGCAAGCAGCCCAAUGCGUGUCGAGCUAAGUUCCUAACCAGGCUUCACCACGAAGCCAGGAGUGUGGAACGACACGCGCUCAACAGUCAGGAUCGGGCGGAUACAAAGUACUGGUACGAUCCUCUUGCGACGAGCCGGCUUCUGGCCAAAAUUCUGGCGGGCAGGCCUUCCGCAUGUGCCGCGGGAGGUCGAGUCAAGACGGUAUGGACAAUGCAAGUCCUCUCAGUCGAACGCUGGAAAGAGUGGUGUAAAGUCCAAGCCCAUCGGUCACGUCUCGAAACACGGGCCAAGGAGUAUAGCAUGUGUGCAAGUCUAAGGGUCUCACAAAAUCCGAAGGCAAAGUGAAAGCAAGUAAGCGGCGGGUGAUCUACGGAGAGAUCCCGUCAGCUAGAGGCUUCUUCCUCCGGGAAAUGUCUCCGGCUUUGGCAGAGUUGAUCCUGCAGCGGUACCGCAGACGUACGCUCAGGCGCAAACUCCAGGCUCACGUUUCGCACUGGUUUUCGAACUGUGCUGUGAGCACUGU
rnacentral:rRNA from 1 species